rnacentral:rRNA from 1 species
CAGUAGCCGCGGGAAUACGUAGGGUGCGAGCGUUAAUCGGAAUUACUGGGCGUAAAGCGUGCGCAGGCGGUUUUGUAAGACAGGCGUGGAAUCCCCGGGCUCAACCUGGGAAUGGCGCUUGUGACUGCAAAGCUAGAGUGCGGCAGAGGGGGAUGGAAUUCCGCGUGUAGCAGUGAAAUGCGUAGAUAUGCGGAGGAACACCGAUGGCGAAGGCAAUCCCCUGGGCCUGCACUGACGCUCAUGCACGAAAGCGUGGGGAGCAAACAGGAUUAGAUACCCGGGUAGUCCCUGUCUCUUAUAU